GGGAUAGUAGUGUUAAGCUAGUUUUCAGGAAUUUAGAGCUAAUGCAGCAUUUAUGGGUAAGUAUAAAAAUAUUGUCCCAUUCCUGCUCUGUCAGUGUGGUUCCUGUCUCCCUCUCCAAUUUAGCUAUGUAUUUCGGGGCGUAUUUGUGUUCCCCAUUGGCGAGCAUGGUGUAUAAUACAGAGAUCCCCUGACCGUGUGUUGUCUGCCUGUGCAUAAAGAUUCAAAUUGUGUAAGGUCCCUGUGGAGGGGGCUCUUGCAGGGAAAGGCUGCAUAGUAUGUCUUAAGUCGGUGGUAGCGGUAUUUAUCCAUCCCAAUAGGGAUGGCUUCAGAAAUUAUAUCCGCCAGGGGUUUAAGUUGGGAUCUGUCAACACUGGCGUACGUACAGCCAGUCUGUUUGUGUAAAACGGUGGAGUUCUGCUGGUGUUAGGCUCCCACCAAAGUCAGGGUUAUACGUGAUUGUCGUCAGGGGGCAAGGUGAUGAAGUUAGUUGUGGAAACCUUUGGGAGCACUACACUUGCACGGUGGCAUCUAUUAUUGGGCUGCCAGUUCGUAAGAAGCUAAAGUCCUGUUUCCCAGCCAGAGUAAUGAGGGGAUUUUACCAGCCGCUUGGACCGUCUCUGCAUGAACCCAGAGUUCAGCAGUGUGACGGCCGUGCCAAUUGGUGAUUCUGAG